rnacentral:lncRNA from 1 species
CUUGCUGCAGGGAUCACAUGAGUUGCCCUAACAGCUUCCCAGGGUGAGAGGGCCCAGGCUCCGUCCAUCCCCAGGGAGGGGGUGGAGCGUGGCAGAGAAACAGAAGAGCCACGGAUUGGCGGUCACAAGCUCUGAAAGGUGACUUUUCUCAGGAGAGACACAGUAGCUCAAAGGGCUCAGGAGUCAGAGACACCAGCCUUUGAGUCCUGAACCCCACUUACUGGCCACCAGUUGGAGCAAGAUGUUAGCCUCCCCGUGCCUGCAGCUCCUCCCUCCUAAGGCAGGGGAGGUGGUAAUGGUGCCUACCCUGUGGGGUGUCCUGGGAGGGUGACAGUCCAGGCUGACCUCUCCCAGGGCCCACGCAUCACACCAGGCAAGAGUUUUUUCAUCUGCACACAACACGGACUGGCACCGACUCCCAGCUGCCCUCCGGGCAGGAUGUGGACUCCCCCUGCUUUGUUCAUCAAUGUCAAAUGUCCCAGCUCUGGUUCCAACAAUAACACUGGCUCCUCAAACCUCCAACCGAAGGAACGGUUUCUGCCAAGAAAAUGUGCCUUAGGAGCUGAGACUACCAGUGGACCAGAAUUCCAGCAGUUCUCCAGGUAUGAGCUCCCAGCAGAAGGGAAAGUGUUGACUAGAGAAUCCAUCAGAAAAGUUUGUUUUCUGGAAGGACAGGACCGGCCGAUGCUGAGAAGGAAGGGGAGUAGGAGAGGCGGGAACUCCCAGCACACACCCUGGCCACUUCACCUGUCAUCCCAAAGAGCUGGUCAUGCCCCGGAUCACGUUUCAUCUCCCAGUGAGGAAAGGCAGCCAGCCACCCUCAGAGGAAAGCAUCCAUGUGGCCACCGAUGGCAGGGAGAGCAGUGUGGGGAGAAAUCUCUAUUUGGAAGAGGAGACAUAGUUGGGUGGGUGGUUCCCUGGCCUUAUCAGGCCUCUGCAGUCCAGCAUGGCACUGGGAGAGAUGGGCCGUCCUAUAUCCGCCCUGCUGGGCUUGGCUCAGUCCCCACUAGACGGAGGGCUUUGCCCUCUCACCCCUGCACUCCAUGCCACCCUGCUUCGUUGACCCCACUGGCCUCCAGGCCGCAGCCAGCUGUAGUGGGAAGAGGAGUGGGCUGACUCUCAAAGUCAGGGGUGAGGACAGGCAUGGCGCUGCCUGAACUGGCAAAUACUGGCAAUAGCAGAAAGCAGGAGAGGUGCAUCGAAGGGGAGUUAAGAUCCAGAGCAUUUAGAGACAAAUUAAACAGCUCUUUUAGAAUUCACUCAACUGGGGGUAUUGAUCACAUUUCUCCAUGGUGGCAAAAUGGACAUGGCUUAGAUAAGUCAAGGUAGCACGUACUUGAGAACGCUUUCCAUUUUCCACUGAGGUAGGUGAUGGCACAGCUGUGGCUUCAGGCUAUGUGCUUAACAUACUCUGACACUAGCGAUGUGACCUCAGGCAAACCGUAUCUCCACUUAGUCUCACCUUCCUCAUCUGUAAAACUGAGAAAAAGUUUUCAUGAAAUUAAA